AACGCGCAAGCUAGCCGUUUUAUCGUGGCGUUUGUUGACAAACAAUCGGUAAUCGAUAGUAUCGGUACGCGUUUGAAUUUUUUCAUUGUUUUCUAAGUGAAAUAAUCGUUGCUUGCUACUUGCUACGUAGUGCCAGUCUCUAGUCCUACUAAUAGCUAAUACAUCGGUUGUCGAUUGGUUAUUGGAAAAUAGACACUCGCUGUCCUGGGAAAAUAUGAAGACGCACAACGAAACUUUUGAUCGUAUAUAAAAAUAUUUUAUAGCCAUUACUUUUCAUUAACAUUCAUUUGUUCUUUGCAGUCUAUCUUAGAUAAACGGUCGAGUAAAGAUAAACAUUUCAAUGUAAUUAGCGAAGAACAUGUCGACGAAGAUUUCGCGAGGAACAUGAAUGUAGAUCAUCGAUAACACGAGAUUUUAUGUUGUCGAGUUAUGAGAGGAAAAAAAUGCAUACGAACAAAUGAUGAGAUCUAGGUGGAAACGUGUCGAUGCAUAUUUCGACAACAAUGACACGUAUCUCUUGGUGCAUCAGAAACCAAAAAACGCUCAGCAGUAUGAGGAAGAGAUACAAAUAAGGGGCAACUCGAAGAAUAAAGACAAGAUUCCAAAACCAACGAGAUGGAGAUCGAGAUUGAAUUCAAGAAAUGCUUGACGCUACUGCCCAAGUAGUCACAGUAAAAUCAAAAUUGUGCUUAUUUACAAUUUAUGCAUAAUAUUAAUACAUUAAAAUACUGUUUUGUGGAAUAACGUACAUAAUUAAGUCUAUAAUUGGCGUCCUAUUAUAAUUGAGAAUUAUGGAAUAACUUCUCUUUUUAUGUUUAAAAUAAGAAAUCUGUAAAUUCCAUUUAUAAGUUUGAUUGUAUAAAUUACAAAAACUAACGAUGCAGAAUCUAUUUUAAAAAUCUG
rnacentral:lncRNA from 13 species